rnacentral:rRNA from 1 species
UACGGUGGGCGCAAACGUUUCUGGGAAUCAUUGGGCGUAAAGCGAGCGCAGGCGGCCUCGUAAGUCGGAUGUGAAAGCCCUCGGCUCAACCGAGGAAGUGCAUCCGAAACUGCGGGGCUGGAGUGCCGGAGAGGGUGGCGGAAUUCCCGGUGUAGAGGUGAAAUUCGUAGAUAUCGGGAGGAACACCAGUGGCGAAGGCGGCCACCUGGACGGUAACUGACGCUGAGGUUCGAAAGCGUGGGGAGCAAACAGG